rnacentral:tRNA from 1 species
GCAUUGAUGGGGUAGUGGUAACCUGGGUCGUUGCCACGAAGGCAGCCUUCGACCCGCCGGGGGUUCGAUUCCCCCUUAAUGCA